GACGGAGGAGGCAAGCGUUAUCCGGAAUUAUUGGGCGUAAAGCGCGUGUAGGCGGCCUCUUAAGUCUGGUGUGAAAGCCCGGGGCUCACCCCCGGAAGGGCACUGGAUACUGGGAGGCUAGAGUACCGGAGAGGAGGGUGGAAUUCCUGGUGUAGCGGUGAAAUGCGUAGAUAUCAGGAGGAACACCGGUGGCGAAGGCGGCCCUCUGGACGGCUACUGACGCUGAGACGCGAAAGCGUGGGGAGCAAACAGG
rnacentral:rRNA from 1 species